rnacentral:rRNA from 1 species
CCAGCUCCAAUAGCGUAUAUUAAAGUUGUUGCAGUUAAAACGCUCGUAGUUGAAUUUCGGAGGAGAGUUCUCGGUCUCAAUUCGUUGUGUACUGGGAGACUCGAAUCUUUUUUCCGGGGAAGCAAGGUGUCCUUCACUGGGCGCCUUGGGGAACCAGGACGAUUACCUUGAGAAAAAUAGAGUGUUCAAAGCAGGCUUAUGCUUGAAUACGUUAGCAUGGAAUAAUAAAAUAGGACUUUGGUUCUAUUUUGUUGGUUUUAAGGACCAAUGUCAUGAUGAAUAGGGACAGUUGGGGGCAUUCGUAUUCCGAAGCUAGAGGUGAAAUUCUUGGAUUUUCGGAAGACGAACUACUGCGAAAGCAUUUGCCAAGGAUGUUUUCAUUAAUCAAGAACGAAAGUUAGGGGAUCGAAGACAAUUAGAUACUGUCGUAGUCUUAACCGUAAAUGAUGCCGACUAGGGAUCGGUGAACGUCGAUUGUGACUUCAUCGGCACCUUACGAGAAAUCAAAGUUUUUGGGUUCUGGGGGGAGUAUGGUCGCAAGUCUGAAACUUAAAGGAAUUGACGGAAGGGCACCACCAGGAGUGGAGCCUGCGGCUUAAUUCGACUCAAC